rnacentral:misc_RNA from 1 species
AGGAAGGUCAGGCAGACGGGGAAAUGCAUCACUUGCUAUUUAUGUUGCCUUUGAAGGACCUUUGGAUCAAUAUUUCAUGAAAUUCCCUCAGAAACUUUUCAGGGGCCCAAUUGAAUGUUGUCAUAUAGAUGCAAGAAACCGGCAGGUUCUUGAACAGCAUCUGGCUGCUGCUGCUUUUGAAUAUCCAUUGAGCUUGUCUGAUGAUGAGAAAUACUUUGGCCCUGGCUUGGAGAGCAUCAUAAUGGCACUUAAAAACAAG